rnacentral:rRNA from 1 species
UACGUAGGGUGCGAGCGUUGUCCGGAAUUACUGGGCGUAAAGAGCUCGUAGGUGGUUUGUCGCGUUGUUCGUGAAAUCUCACGGCUUAACUGUGAGCGUGCGGGCGAUACGGGGCAGACUAGAGUACUGCAGGGGGAGACUGGAAUUCCUGGUGUAGCGGUGGAAUGCGCAGAUAUCAGGAGGAACACCGGUGGCGAAGGCGGGUCUCUGGGCAGUAACUGACGCUGAGGAGCGAAAGCGUGGGGAGCGAACAGG